AAGUAGAUAGAUAGAUGAAUAAAUGAGGUUGAGAUUCCACAAAUGCCUAAAAACUUAUCGAACUGACUUUAGACAUCAUCUGGGUUUCCAUUUGCAUUUUAUAUUGAAGUUGUACAGAGAAGGGACAACAAUACAGUUGGGUCACAUGACAAGCCAGUGACUGAUCUUACACUAAAAUUCAUAUCUUCUGAAUUAUGGUUAGGUGUUCUAAUUCACCACCAUAUAAAUGUCAUUUCUCUGUGCAUUUAUGCAUGAGUAGUCAGCAUAUCCUGUGUUCAUGAUGUGUGCCAAAAUUACAUUUUUCUUAACUCCAUCCCAGGACCUAAAGAAGAACAUAUAUUCUGCAGUUUUCUCCAUAAAACUGAUCACAUGGGAUUAUGGUCAAGAGUAUGUCAUACAGAGCUGUACUGAAACAUAUGUCCUGCUGCUUCCUAACUAGUUAUGUGAAACUGGCUUCACAAAGAAGCCUGAAAUUCAGAAUGCCUGAGGACCUGGCUGUGGUCACAGAGCUGGAGAGGGGUGUAUCUGACUCUGAAGACUUCACUCUCACUACAUUUCCUGGCCUGAGCACACGUCCUCAUGGGAAUGAUACAAUGGAUGUUUGGGGGAAUUUUUAAAAUUCCAUAUAAUUUGGAGGUACUAUUAUGAAAAUGUAAUUUAUCCCAAAUGACAUAUUUUUACAUUCAGGAGAAGAUAAUGAUGUUUUAAAAAAUCUGCAUGGAAGAGAAGGAAGUUGAUAAGAUACUUUUGUUUAAUCUGGGUUUCAUCUUGCUCAGAAUAGUUAUUUUAACUAUGUGGAAAUAGAGCCAGGAAUACUAUUUUAGCCAGGACCCAUUUUUGUCCAAAUACAUGGUAGGUGCAAAAAUGAAUAAAAUAAAUAUUCUUUCAAGGAUCCAAGACUCUCAAAUGUGCCACAGCAUCUGACCUUGGACAUGACACUUAGUAUAGUGAGUAGAUGCAAAGACUUGGAAACCAAAUAGGCAGGGGCUAGACCAGCAAGGAUUUAGAAGCCUACUACUAUUUAGUUGUCUUCAUAAGGAGAUAAGGUGCCGGGGACUGAUGAUACUGUUUCAUUUCUGUCCAGGAGAAAUGAUGACUUUAAUAUGUGUUUUAUGUACUUGAAGUUUGUUUGGUUGUGUUAACCAGCCAGGCACCAGGUGCUUUAACUAAAGCCUAAGAGGGUGUGGAAAAUGCUGGAGAUACUUUCAGUCAGGACACCCAGGUUCAAAUGUCAGUUCUGUCCUCAUCUAGAAAAAGGCCACAGUUCUUUUUCUCAUCUAUAAAAAAUAUAUUACUAUAAAAAUUCAGCACUGCCCUUGUCAUAGGGGAGGAUGUAAAGGUCAGCGAUUUCCCAGCCAUGAUUUCAGGACUUAACUACAAGUGACUGCAGUGUUCUCUACCCC
rnacentral:lncRNA from 1 species